GUGCUCACUUCAGCAGCACACAUACUUAAAUUGGAACAGUACAGAGAUUAGCAUGGCCCCAGUGCAAGGAUUACACGCAAAUUCGUGAAGCAUCCCAUAUUAAA